AUUGAACGCUGGCGGCAUGCCUUACACAUGCAAGUCGAACGGCAGCACGAUCUAGCUUUCCAGAUUGAUGUCGAGUGGCGAAGGGGUGUGAAAUAUAUAUGAACGUCCCCUGUAGCGGGGGAGAACUCGUCGAAAGAUUAGCUAUUACCGCAUAUAACCUGAGCGUGAAAGUGCGGGAGCGCAAGGCCUCUUGCUAUAGUAGCGGCCGAGGUCUGAUUAGCUAGUUGGUGGGGUAAAGGCCCACCAAGGCGACGAUCAGUAGCUGGUCUGAGAGGAUGAUCAGCCACACUGGGACUGAGACACGGCCCAGACUCCUACGGGAGGCAGCAGUGGGGAAUUUUGGACAAUGGGGGCAAGCCUGAUCCAGCAAUGCCGCGUGUGUGAAGAAGGCCUUCGGGUUGUAAAGCACUUUUGUUCGGAAAGAAAAGGAGCUUACUAAUAUUAGGUGGGGAUGACGGUACCGAAAGAAUAAGCACCGGCUAACUACGUG
rnacentral:rRNA from 1 species